rnacentral:rRNA from 1 species
CUGGCGGCGUGCCUAACACAUGCAAGUCGAACGAGAAAGUGGAGCAAUCCAUGAGUAAAGUGGCGACCGGGUGAGUAACACGUGACUAACCUGCCCUCGAGUGGGGAAUAACCCCGGGAAACCGGGGCUAAUACCGCAUAACAUCGCAAGAUCAAAGCCGAAAGGCGCUUGAGGAGGGGGUCGCGGCUGAUUAGCUAGUUGGUAGGGUAACGGCCUACCAAGGCAAAGAUCGGUAGCCGGCCUGAGAGGGCGCACGGCCACACUGGAACUGAAACACGGUCCAGACUCCUACGGGAGGCAGCAGUGGGGAAUUUUGCGCAAUGGGGGAAACCCUGACGCAGCAACGCCGCGUGGAGGAUGAAGUCCUUUGGGACGUAAACUCCUUUCGACCCGGACGAUACUGACGGUACGGGUGGAAGAAGCACCGGCUAACUCUGUGCCAGCAGCCGCGGUAAUACAGAGGGUGCGAGCGUUGUUCGGAAUUAUUGGGCGUAAAGGGCGCGUANGCGGUGCGGUAAGUCACCUGUGAAAUCUCCUGGCUCAACUGGGA